rnacentral:rRNA from 1 species
UACGUAGGGUGCAAGCGUUGUCUGGAAUUAUUGGGCGUAAAGAGCUCGUAGGCGGUUCGUCGCGUCGGCUGUGAAAACCUGAGGCUCAACCUCAGGCCUGCAGUCGAUACGGGCGGACUUGAGUACUGCAGGGGAGACUGGAAUUCCUGGUGUAGCGGUGAAAUGCGCAGAUAUCAGGAGGAACACCGGUGGCGAAGGCGGGUCUCUGGGCAGUAACUGACGCUGAGGAGCGAAAGCGUGGGGAGCGAACAGG